CAAGAAUUCUCUAACUAUUACUAGAUACGAUGAUCAAACAAAGGGAGAUCAAUGAGGUUGAGUGGUGGCAUGAUCCAGAUAUUCUCAUAAGGGUUCUGUUUUUUCCACUUGAAGCAAACCUCACUCUCUUCAUCAACCUUAUAAUAUAUGCAAGUCCUCUUGAAUCCAUGGAACACAGAGAGACACAAACAGUUCCAUAUUCCACUCUGCUUCUGCUGCUCGGCUCUGGAUUCAGAAGACAAAGCGCUUGCGUAGAUCGUCAAGCCUCCCAGUGUUUUCCUCUCAGCCCAUUCAAAGCUAGUAAGGUCAAGUUUAAGCACUGUUGGGUUCAUGUGUCUGUACAUAUAAAUGAGAAAGAUCUCUCCUUGGUGUUCUGUCAUAAAGCAUCCGUUGCUUCCAGGACGUUUAGGAGGUCUCCCAGGAAG